CCAAGCCCAGAAAGAGAGAAACUAUCUCUUCUUCAACACAGCCCGAUAGGAUUCACCUUACUCUUCAAUCUCUGAGCAUCUUAAGCAACAAUGGAGUUUCAGGAGGAUGAGUUAGUUGAAUCGUCCUAAAGAAUCUCUGUAUUAAUAUUCGAUUGCGUCGUUAAUUACGUCUUCCUUCUUAUCCUUUCAGAAGUUCUCAUUCAAUAAACUUUUUCAAAAAAAAAAAAGUUCUCAUUCAAUACAUCCUCUACUCUCUUUGGUUCAAAAAAAAAAAGUUCUCAUUGAAUUUACCUCUGUCAAAUUCAUCAUUCCAUUCCUCACAACCAUAAUAAUCUAAAAACUUCGGCAGAUUAGAAUGGCUAAUUCAUCUCUCCUCAUUGCUUAUUUGAAAACCCCGUCGUCCUAGCAGUUCCGCAGAGCCUAGCUAGAGGUUUCUUACUGUUUUUAUGGCUGUGUGGUUUCUUCUCGCUAUCCUACGCUGCAAGGUCCGGCGUAUCUAAGUAGGAGUUUGAAGUCAAGAAGCAUGUGAACAGUCUAAAUAAACCUGUCGUCAAGAGCGUUCAAACCCCAGAUGGCGAUAUAACUGAUUGUGUUCCUACCACAGAGCGACCAGCUUUUGAUCAUCAUUUCCUCAAAGAGGGCAUGAUACAGAUGAAGCAUAUAACUGUCCAGUUUCCUAAAUCUACAGAACCUGAUCUCAUCAACCAAGGUGGUCACCAGCUUAUAUGGAAGGGGAUAAGUACUAUGGAGCUAAAGCAACUAUAAAUGUGUGGGAGCCAAAGAUAGAGCUACGGAACGAGUUUAGCUUCUCGCAAAUAUGGCUUCCCGGUUGCUCAUCCGGAAAUGAUCUUAACAGCAUAGAAGCUGGUUGGCAGGUCCACUCAGUAGGGAAUGUGAAGAUGAUUUAGUUUCUCAUGUUCUGUAUAAGAUUUGUGUUUGCUUUACUACAGGUUAGCCUGUAUAUAUAUGGUGACAAGAGCACAAGGCUCUUCACUUACUGGAGUAUAAGCAACUAUAAUCAAAUUAUUGUUGUUAUGUGCUUAUGUUCCGUUCCUCAUAUACUAACUGGGUGUACCUGCCUAACAGUGAAAAGUGUAAAGUAAUUACAUAAUUAAAAAUGAUUUUUUUCUUAUUAGUUAAACUAUGA